AACGAACGCUGGCGGCAUGCUAACACAUGCCAGUCGAACGAGACCUUCGGGUCUAGUGGCGCACGGGUGCGUAACGCGUGGGAACCUGCCCUUAGGUUCGGAAUAACUCCCCGAAAGGGGUGCUAAUACCGGAUAAUGUCUUCGGACCAAAGAUUUAUCGCCUUUGGAUGGGCCCGCGUUGGAUUAGCUAGUUGGUAGGGUAAAAGCCUACCAAGGCGACGAUCCAUAGCUGGUCUGAGAGGAUGAUCAGCCACACUGGGACUGAGACACGGCCCAGACUCCUACGGGAGGCAGCAGUGGGGAAUAUUGGACAAUGGGCGAAAGCCUGAUCCAGCAAUGCCGCGUGAGUGAUGAAGGCCUUAGGGUUGUAAAGCUCUUUUACCCGGGAUGAUAAUGACAGUACCGGGAGAAUAAGCGCCGGCUAACUCCGUG
rnacentral:rRNA from 1 species